AUUGAACGCUGGCGGCAGGCCUAACACAUGCAAGUCGGACGGUAGCACAGGGGAGCUUGCUCCUCGGGUGACGAGUGGCGGACGGGUGAGUAAUGUCUGGGGAUCUGCCCGAUAGAGGGGGAUAACCACUGGAAACGGUGGCUAAUACCGCAUAAUGUCGCAAGACCAAAGAGGGGGACCUUCGGGCCUCUCACUAUCGGAUGAACCCAGAUGGGAUUAGCUAGUAGGCGGGGUAACGGCCCACCUAGGCGAUGAUCCCUAGCUGGUCUGAGGGGAUGCCCAGCCACACGGGACCUGAGACCCGGUCCAGACGCCUACGGGAGGCAGCAGUGGGGAAUAUUGCACAAUGGGCGCAAGCCUGAUGCAGCCAUGCCGCGUGUAUGUAGAAGGCCUUCGGGUUGUAAAGUACUUUCAGCGGGGAGGAAGGCGAUGUGGUUAAUAACCGCAUUGAUUGACGUUACCCGCAGAAGAAGCACCGGCUAACUCCGUGCCAGCCGCCGCCGUAA
rnacentral:rRNA from 1 species